AGAGUUUGAUCAUGGCUCAGGACGAACGCUUGCGGCGUGCCUAAGAAAUGCAAGUCGAGCGAGGUUCAGCCUUCGGGCGAAGACCUAGCGGCGAACGGUCGCGUAACACGUAAGCAACCUGCCCUAAAAUGGGGGAUAGCCCACCGAAAGGUGGAUUAAUACCGCAUGUGGACAUUGGAUCGCAUGUUCCGAUGUCUGAAGCAGCAAUGCGUUUUAGGAUGGGCUUGCGGCCUAUCAGCUAGUUGGUGUGGGUAACGGCUCACCAAGGCGACGACGGGUAGCUGGUCUGAGAGGAUGGUCAGCCGGACUGGGACUGAGAUACGGCCCAGACUCCUACGGGGGGCAGCAAUUAGGAAUCUUGCGCAAUGGGCGAAAGCCUGACGCAGCGACGCCGCGUGACUGAUGAAGUCUUUCGGGAUGUAAAGGUCUUUUGCAGGGGACGAAGGAAGUGACGGUACCCUGCGAAUAAGCCCCGGCUAACUACGUGCCAGCAGCCGCGGUAAUACGUAGGGGGCGAGCGUUGUCCGAAUUUACUGGGCGUAAAGCGCGCGUAGGCGGGCUUUUAAGUUGUGGGUGAAAUCCCGAGGCUUAACCUCGGAGCUGCCUGCAAAACUGGAAGCCUUGAGGUAUGGAGAGGGAAGUGGAAUUCCAGGUGUAGCGGUGAAAUGCAGAUAUCUGGAGGAACACCCGUGGCGAAGGCGGCUUCCUGGUCAUAUCCUGACGCUGAGGUGCGAAAGCUAGGGGAGCGAACGGGAUUAGAUACCCUAGUAGUCC
rnacentral:rRNA from 1 species